UACGGAGGGCGCAAGCGUUGCUCGGAAUCACUGGGCGUAAAGCGAACGCAGGCGGCCUGGUAAGUUGGGUGUGAAAUCCCGGGGCUCAACCCCGGAACUGCAUUCAAAACUGCCAGCCUUGAGUACGGGAGAGGGAAGCGGAAUUCCUGGUGUAGAGGUGAAAUUCGUAGAUAUCAGGAGGAACAUCAGUGGCGAAAGCGGCUUCCUGGCCCGAUACUGACGCUCAUGUUCGAAAGCGUGGGGAGCAAACAGG
rnacentral:rRNA from 1 species